rnacentral:misc_RNA from 1 species
GAUGAAGAACGUAGCGAAAUGCGAUAAGUAAUGUGAAUUGCAGAAUUCAGUGAAUCAUCGAAUCUUUGAACGCACAUUGCGCCCGCCAGUUUUCUGGCGGGCAUGCCUGUUCGAGCGUCAUUUCAACCAUCAAGCCCCCCGGCUUGUGUUGGGGACCUGCGGCUGCCGCAGGCCCUGAAAAGCAGUGGCGGGCUCGCUGUCACACCGAGCGUAGUAGCAUACAUCUCGCUCUGGGCGUGCUGCGGGUUCCGGCCGUUAAACCACCUUCAUAACCCAAGGUUGACCUCGGAUCAGGUAGGAAGACCCGCUGAACUUAAGCAUAUCAAUAAGCGGAGGA